GGUACAAAUGAGGGACUGUCCUUCUAAAAACGGGACAGUUGGAAGGUUAUUGUACUCUGUCACUGUGGCCAGAGCAUUACACACACAGGGCCCCCUCCAUAUAAAACACCCGAAAAAACGACAGAAACCUAUAAAAAGUAAUUAAUACAAUACAGGGUGACUUAGCACACACACACUAAAGGAAAACGUGUUGAAACUGCAGUUAUUGUAGCCUAUAAAGUAUCUUUCAGACGUGAUUGGAUGAAACAGCAUAUGCAGCCCUCUAUUUGCUGCAAGUGAUUAGCCCGCCCCCUAGAUAAACUCGAUUGGCUGUUCUGGUUAGAACGAUGCAGGGAUUGGCUGGAAUGACUGGUGGGCGCGAUUAAAUGAGGCAACGGGCUGAAACAACAUUUGCAGCCCUCUAUUGGCUGCCAAUAAAUAGCUCGCCCCUACAGAAACACGAAUGGCUGUUCUAGUUGGAACUAUGCAAGGAUUGGCUGGUAUGACUUUGUGAGCGCGAUUGCAUGAGGCAACGUUGAGCAUAGCGAAAGGAUUGUUAGCAUGUGUAUUGGAAUGGGAAAGUAAUCUGAUGCUAGGUAGGGAGGGGUGGAGGCUGACCGACAGUGCAGGAAGGUACGUUAUAUAUCCGUGUGUCGCUAAGAGGAGGGACUAUGACAUACGCAGCAUAUCCAUUGUGGUCGUAGUUAAACCCAGGCCAUAACUUUUGCACGACGGGUUUUUUAUACCUCACAGCUUCCCCGUGCACCAGAUGCAUAGUGGCUCCUUCUACAUUUAUAUAAUCACGUGUCGUUUUGGUCGUGUGGCUUCCUGUCGGCGAUUGCGUCUAGCCGGGCUCACUUCCUGCUGGCAUAGUCACGUGGUACUGCGUUAAUCCAUAUGCCGACGGAAGUAGAGUGAUAAAAGAUGCUGGAGUUGCGUGGUUCUGUUAUCACGCGAGAAUACCUUUCUCUAAGGGGGUGCAGCAUUGGACGUAACUCUUCGAGCAUCCAUGAAAGGGCAUCUAGCUGGUGGGUACAUGCAAGGCCGCCUGUGCCCCACCCACCUUCGCGCCCAGACCCCGCCCACUCCACAUCACAGUUAAAAGACCACACAGACGUCAGUGCUAAAAAAGUAACCCCCCCCCCACAAGUUAUAAAAAGCUAUUGAUGUACAUUUAUGGCUUCAGUAUAGUACUGCUGAGUUUGAUGGAUCCAGAAGAACCUGUAAACAACCACUAGAUGUCACUGAGUAACCUUACAGCAAAUAUGGAAAAAAAAAAACCGUGGAAGAGCAUAGUCCAAUGGAGGAGAUUUUAGUUCUCCGUGUAAGAGAUGCUGUUUGGAAAAUCAAAGCCGUUGACUAUUUUCUUGGCCAUCACCAGUCAGUGGAUGAUUUCACUUAAAACUUGGCAGAGGAAAGGGGAGUUAAAAGAAUGCCCCAUGGCAGGCAUUUGAUUGUCGCUUCUUUCAGGUUCUCUCCUUUCAUCACAGCUGCUACAACAAAGAAGGCGGCAUUUAUUUUGCAGGAGAUGACGCUGUUAGAAAUCCAGGAGCAUGUGACAUAAGUAUGGUGUCCCUCCCCAAAUUGUACUGUUAAUUGUGAAGCGUAAUCUUUAAAUGUCUAUACCCUAGUUAUCUAUAAUGGCUAUGUUUUACAGUUUUUUUUUUUU